UCAGAAGUACUUUUCAAAAUAUCAUGUAUUUUGCUAACUCUAUAUAACUCCAUGUGUCAUUUCAUCCAGAAAACUUGUUUCUAAUGCUUUUUUCUCUGGACUCUAAGCUGGUUGAUGCCACCUAGCCUUGGGAAAAAGCCCACCUUCUGAUAGGAUUGCUAUUGAGUAGCAAAAAUUCUUGGAUUCUGAUAACAUCUUUCAUGCAGAAACUCAAAGCAUCUCCCAAAUUAUAAGCCCAUUCUUUUACCCUGUUCUACACUCUCACACUCUAAGAACAACUCAUUUCAAUCUUGGGACAUUGACCAGAAUUCAGGGAAACUAGCAUGAUCCUUCCAGUCUGACGUUUCAUUCCAUCUACUGUCCAAAGCUGUGUCUACAAGGCAUCACCUAUGAGACAAGAAAACUGAGGCUCAACAAGAUUACUUGAAUUUGCACAGAUUAUAAGUGAUGAAACUGGGGCUCCAGCAAAGUUCUCUCUGAUUCUAUGCUGCUAACCACUACACUAUGUUGUCUCUCAUAUUUAUACAUUUGAUGUGAGCCUUCUAUACUUAAGUUUCCAUUUCCCGACUUUAAGUUUUUCCAAUGUAAAAAAGAGGGUGAUGUGUUGCAGGAAAGGAUUUGUAUGAGAAAGAAGUGAGGUUGUCCUUGAUCCCUUGAAUUUAUUUGCUUGCCAGUGAGGGCUGGAGUGUUUUCUGUCUUUGUUACUGUCUGUACUUUCAAGGAAAAGAAAGUCUUCUCAUCAGUGAUAUCAGAGUAUACCAAGGAAGAUCAGGUUGCUGAUUUUCAGAAUGAUCCAGGUCCCAGUAAAUACCAAUGAUUUUUAUCAGAUUAAGAAGUCAGGCAGUCUAUUAAUAUCCUUGUCAGAAUCAAAUCCAAUUCCAAGGUUGCAAAUAGAGCUAUAAGAAAGAAAAAAAAAGAGAGAUGUAAUAUUGUGGCUGGUAAUUUUUGUCCUUUUCACUGUGGACGUGAAUAUUUUGUUUAAAUAUUUAGUUGGGCAAC